rfam:Capsicum annuum cultivar Zunla-1 unplaced genomic scaffold scaffold3799, whole genome shotgun sequence
GGGUCGAUGUCCGAGCGGUUAAUGGGGAUGGACUGUAAAUUCGUUGGCAAUAUGUCUACACUGGUUCAAAUCCAGCUUGGCCCA